rnacentral:sRNA from 1 species
GCGUGGUCAAGCCGGGGCUCGUUUGCAGUCAGUGGCAGCAGCAGCAGGCCCCCGCCGUGGAGCCGUGUGGUGUAUGUGUGGUAACACCAUGUCUGUGCCCCUGCUCACCGAUGCUGCCACUGUGUCUGGAGCUGAGCGGGAAACGGCCGCGGCACAGCUGGGCUGACGCCCUCUCCACCAUCCGGCUCCCUCACGUCAAGUACAUCUGUCCCCAUGCGCCUAGGAUCCCUGUGACCCUCAACAUGAAGAUGGUGAUGCCCUCCUGGUUUGACCUGAUGGGGCUGAGUCCAGAUGCCCCAGAGGACGAGGCUGGCAUCAAGAAGGCAGCAGAGAACAUCAAGGCCUUGAUUGAGCAUGAAAUGAAGAACGGGAUCCCUGCCAAUCGAAUCGUCCUGGGAGGCUUUUCACAGGGCGGGGCCCUGUCCCUCUACACGGCCCUCACCUGCCCCCACCCUCUGGCUGGCAUCGUGGCGUUGAGCUGCUGGCUGCCUCUGCACCGGGCCUUCCCCCAGGCAGCUAAUGGCAGUGCCAAGGACCUGGCCAUACUCCAGUGCCAUGGGGAGCUGGACCCCAUGGUGCCCGUACGGUUUGGGGCCCUGACGGCUGAGAAGCUCCGGUCUGUUGUCACACCUGCCAGGGUCCAGUUCAAGACAUACCCGGGUGUCAUGCACAGCUCCUGUCCUCAGGAGAUGGCAGCUGUGAAGGAAUUUCUUGAGA